UACGGAGGGUGCAAGCGUUGUUCGGAAUUAUUGGGCGUAAAGGGCUCGUAGGCGGUUUGUCACGUCGGGAGUGAAAACUCAGGGCUCAACCCUGAGCGUGCUUCCGAUACGGGCAGACUAGAGGUAUGCAGGGGAGAACGGAAUUCCUGGUGUAGCGGUGGAAUGCGCAGAUAUCAGGAGGAACACCGGUGGCGAAGGCGGUUCUCUGGGCAUGACCUGACGCUGAGGAGCGAAAGCAUGGGGAGCGAACAGG
rnacentral:rRNA from 1 species